UAUAGAUGGAUCCGCGCUGCAUUAGCUAGUUGGUAAGGUAACGGCUUACCAAGGCAACGAUGCAUAGCCGACCUGAGAGGGUGAUCGGCCACACUGGAACUGAGACACGGUCCAGACUCCUACGGGAGGCAGCAGUAGGGAAUCUUCCGCAAUGGGCGAAAGCCUGACGGAGCAACGCCGCGUGAGUGAUGAAGGUCUUCGGAUCGUAAAACUCUGUUAUUAGGGAAGAACAUAUGUGUAAGUAACUGUGCACAUCUUGACGGUACCUAAUCAGAAAGCCACGGCUAACUACGUGCCAGCAGCCGCGGUAAUACGUAGGUGGCAAGCGUUAUCCGGAAUUAUUGGGCGUAAAGCGCGCGUAGGCGGUUUUUUAAGUCUGAUGUGAAAGCCCACGGCUCAACCGUGGAGGGUCAUUGGAAACUGGAAAACUUGAGUGCAGAAGAGGAAAGUGGAAUUCCAUGUGUAGCGGUGAAAUGCGCAGAGAUAUGGAGGAACACCAGUGGCGAAGGCGACUUUCUGGUCUGUAACUGACGCUGAUGUGCGAAAGCGUGGGGAUCAAACAGGAUUAGAUACCCUGGUAGUCCACGCCGUAAACGAUGAGUGCU
rnacentral:rRNA from 1 species